rnacentral:rRNA from 1 species
GUGGAUGAGGCAUGCAAGUCGAACGAAGUCGCAAGACUUAGUGGCGGAAGGGUUAGUAAUACAUGGGUAACCUGCCGUCUACCUCGGAAUAACAGUUGGAAACGACUGCUAAUACUGGAUGAGGUGGUCAUAAGGAAACUUGAGACCAUCAAAGUGGGGGAUCUUCGGACCUUGCGGUAAAUGAGGGGCCCAUGGGAUAUCAGCUAGUUGGUGAGGUAAUGGCUCACCAAGGCUAAGACGUCUAGGCGGAUUGAGAGAUUGACGUCUGGCGGAUUGAGAGAUUG